rnacentral:rRNA from 1 species
ACGUAGGGUGCGAGCGUUAAUCGGAAUUACUGGGCGUAAAGCGUGCGCAGGCGGUUCGUUAAGACAGGUGUGAAAUCCCCGGGCUUAACCUGGGAAUGGCGCUUGUGACUGGCGGGCUGGAGUGCGGCAGAGGGGGGUGGAAUUCCACGUGUAGCAGUGAAAUGCGUAGAGAUGUGGAGGAACACCGGUGGCGAAGGCGGCCCUCUGGUCCGAAACUGACGCUGAUGCGCGAAAGCGUGGGGAGCAAACAG